rnacentral:rRNA from 1 species
AGAGUUUGAUCCUGGCUCAGAAUCAACGCUGUCGGCGUGCCUCAGACAUGCAAGUCGAACGCGAAAGUCCCCUUCGGGGGGCAAGUAGAGUGGCGCACGGGUGAGUAACACGUAGGUAAUCUACCUUUGGAUGGGGAAUAACAACCGGAAACGGUUGCUAAUACCGCAUAAUGCAGCGGCACCUAAUGGUGACAGUUGUUAAAGCGGGGGAUCGAAAGACCUCGCGUCUGAAGAGGAGCCUGCGGCGGAUUAGCUAGUUGGUAAGGUAAUGGCUUACCAAGGCUACGAUCCGUAACCGGCCUGAGAGGGCGGUCGGUCACACUGACACUGACAUACGGGUCAGACUCCUACGGGAGGCAGCAGUCGGGAAUUUUGGGCAAUGGGCGAAAGCCUGACCCAGCAACGCCGCGUGAAGGAUGAAAUCCCUCGGGAUGUAAACUUCGCAAGAACGGGAAGAAUAAGCGAGAGUUAAUAUCUUUCGUGAUGACGGUACCGUUUGUAAGCUCCGGCUAACUCCGUGCCAGCAGCCGCGGUAAUACGGGGGGAGCAAGCGUUGUUCGGAUUUACUGGGCGUAAAGGGCGCGUAGGCGGUCAGCACAAGUCAGUUGUGAAAUCUCCGAGCUUAACUCGGAAAGGUCAACUGAUACUGUGCGACUAGAGUGCGGAAAGGGGCAACUGGAAUUCUUGGUGUAGCGGUGAAAUGCGUAGAUAUCAAGAGGAACACCUGCGGCGAAAGCGGGUUGCUGGGCCGACACUGACGCUGAGCGCGAAAGCCAGGGGAGCGAACGGGAUUAGAUACCCCGGUAGUCC